AUUCCAUGACGGGGACACUUCCUUAACAACUCCUUGGAGCACUCCCAUGCAUCAUACAAUGACUCCUCAUCAUUUUGGUGGAAAUUAUUGAUUUCACCUCUCAACUU